AGGCAGAGCAAUCUCUGCUGCAAGGUUGUGGGAAUUCUGCAGCAGAUUUUAUUCGUCCACCUCCAGCCUCCCAGUAAUAACAUGGCUGUUUAGACUCUUCUCUGAGCUUCAGGGAAGAAAGAAAUCUUGUUACAGAUGCAUGCUCUACAGAGUGUGAACUUGGCUGUCUUCCCAUGCCAAGGAUACAUCACAGAAGGCAGAGAACCCCAACUCUCGGUCCAUGGACCGGCACCGGGCUGCAGCAUGCCAGAAACUGGUCCGCGCAAACAAGCAAAGCCCCAUCUGCAGGAUGCAGGCAGUACAUGAAACCACACCCCCUCCGGUCCGCAGAAAAACCUCGUUCCAUGGAACUGGUCCCUGGUUCCCAAAAGGUUGGGGACCUCUGCUUUAAGGGGAUUGUCUUGAUUUUGGGGUCAUCUCCCUUUUGGAUAAAUACAAUGGUUGAUUCCUGGUAAAGGUCUCUUUGCUUCCAACUUUUUAUCUUAUAAUCUGCUUUUUUAAAGAAUAGAAGUGUUGCUGAAUGUUUUAGUUCUGCUAUCUUUCAACUGUCAUGUCAUGAAUUACUUCCUUGUGUUUUAACCUCACGUUACCCAUUUCAAUCAUUAUUUUAACGAGGGUAAACUCUUUGCCUUGGGGUGCCAUUUCUCAUCUCGAAGAAUCCUUCAAACUUGGACAAACUGUGGCCUCAGCAAUGGAAGGGAUGAAAUUGGGAAUUAGUCCAACCUGGCCAGAUUGAGAGGACUAUGUGAUAACAGUGCUCUUCAAGUAGCUCAAAAAAAAAUCUCAUUUAAAAAAAAGCAGAGACUGGAUCUUUUUUACCCCAGAAUGCAGGGAAGAGGGAUAAUGG